CACGUAGGGUGCGAGCGUUGUCCGGAAUUAUUGGGCGUAAAGAGCUCGUAGGCGGUGUGUCGCGUCGGCCGUGAAAACCUGCAGCUUAACUGUGGGCUUGCGGUCGAUACGGGCAUCACUGGAGUUCGGCAGGGGAGACUGGAAUUCCUGGUGUAGCGGUGAAAUGCGCAGAUAUCAGGAGGAACACCGGUGGCGAAGGCGGGUCCCUGGGCCGAUACUGACGCUGAGGAGCGAAAGCGUGGGGAGCGAACAGG
rnacentral:rRNA from 1 species